rnacentral:rRNA from 1 species
GAUGAACGCUGGCGGCGUGCCUAACACAUGCAAGUCGAGCGGUAUAUACUGGAACGAAACUUCGGUCUAGAGAAGGUAUAGAGAGCGGCGGACGGGUGAGUAACGCGUAGGCAACCUGCCCCAUACAGAGGGAUAGCCUCGGGAAACCGGGAUUAAAACCUCAUAAUACGAGAAGUGCACAUGUUCUUCUCGUCAAAGAUUCAUCGGUAUGGGAUGGGCCUGCGUCUGAUUAGCUAGUUGGUGAGGUAACGGCUCACCAAGGCAACGAUCAGUAGCCGACCUGAGAGGGUAAUCGGCCACAUUGGAACUGAGACACGGUCCAAACUCCUACGGGAGGCAGCAGUGGGGAAUCUUGCACAAUGGGCGAAAGCCUGAUGCAGCAACGCCGCGUGAGCGAUGAAGGCCUUUGGGUCGUAAAGCUCUGUCCU